rnacentral:lncRNA from 1 species
ACAAACACUUCCAUCUUAUCUUUGCAAACAAGAACGCGUGGUCAACAAUGGCAGGUCGGCACACUUCAAUUGCGAAUACUGCUGCUGUUGCUGCUGCUGCUACAAAUGUUCAAUACGAGCGUGCCUUGGUGAGCAUCGAGUAUGUGCGUGUGAACAAUAUUGAUAAAAGGACUCCUGGUCACCUCUACGGAACAGUAAAGGUCAAGGACUUCUGGGGCCUUCAUACGGUGUAUGAUCGGAGUUCAAGUGACUAUGAGAGCAAAGGUCCUGGCGAAUUUGCCACAUUGACAGGCCCUUCUGAUGCUAUUUCGGGCUAUGAUGUGUUUAUUAUCAGCGUCAGUUUGUGGCACCAUGACAGCUUGUCCCCCAAGGAUGAGAUUGCUCAAGGUGACAUCGUGUGGGAACCAAGAAAUGAGAAUCUAACUUUCGCCAAUUACGACAAGCGUUUGGAGAAGGUUGUGUUUGGUCAAUAUGGCAGUGUUACAGUGGGUUACUCCGUAAUAAGAUAUGCUCUUAACGCCACUGUCAAAGUUGUGCUGAUCAACGGGGAUAAUAAAUCGCCGGCGGAUGUGCAUGGAACAAUUAAAGCUUCGCAGGUUAUAGGGGUAUCAGAGACAUCCCUCACAUUGUUUGAGAAAUCAUCCGGUGAAUAUGUCCAAGUGAGUCCCAAUCAAUCUAUUCCCCUGACUCGUUCAGUUGUGGUAGCACCAGCAAGUUCCGGGUUAACAAUCAUGGCAGAUUUGUGGAAUUAUGAUACGCUGUCACCUGGUCACCAAAUUGCAAAGGGAAGUGCGCACUUUGAUGCCGUGGUCGGAACCCAAAUCAAGAGCAUAUACAGUCAACAUGGUGAAGUGCAAGUAUCCGUCACUUGUGAGUAAUUGAGGUAGCAACACUCUCCUUGCCCAACCUUGCCUGCCGGUUAUAAAAGUAAAGAGGAUAUUACAAGUUCUGUUCAGAAUUUACUGUGUUGUGAAUCAUCUUGCAAUAUGUUUAGGCUGCUCUGGGCACCAGUGUAAAGUUAUAACAUACUAGAAUUCUGCUUUCUCUCCUAUACAUCUUCUUCCUUCUAGUAUUGUUUCACUUGCUGUUUUCUGUGCAUCUUGUCUCAAUUGAAACUGAUGCUGUUGCUAACAUUUAGUUUGAUAUAAGGUUUUCUCUUCAGCCUUUGAUCUUUGAUACAAGAGCAUCUUUUGCAAGAACGUUUACUUAAUUUCUAUUUUCAACAUUUACUAUAAAUUGCCAUCAUUUUUGCACAUUUUUUUACCAAUAAUUAUGGAUAUUUUUAUAUUUGUCCAUAUAUGCAUCCGUUAUCCCUAAAUUGGUUGGUUGAUAUUGGUGCUCUAAUCCUAUGGUCAUAUCCAGUAAGUAGUUAGAGAGAUAUUUUUCCAUGAGAGCCUUUAAACCGAGCAGGCAAGCAGAUCAGAAAUAAAUGGGCCACGAGGGGAAAAGCGACUGAAAAUGACAAAAAUGUAAAAAACAUCAAUUAUUCAAAGUUUUCUAUUUUCAAGUGUUUUUGCUAUCUGAAGAAGAAUUAACUGUUGUUUCUUAAUUCCCUCUGCUAAGGGGCUUCUGAUUAUUGUAGUGCAAAGUUGAUUUCUACUUGAGCUUUCUUUGAUCAAGAUAGAAGCUUAGCCUUGGCUUCAGAAAGUUCAUGUUUCCUUUGUAUAUAUGCGCAUCAUUUUCAUCUACGGCUUAUUUUUGUCUUGGAUUUUUGCAUUUGAGCAUACAUCUGCAAACUUUAACUGCAAAAUUGGCACUAAAUUAUUUUGUAUGUCCGAAUUAAUUCUUCUGAUCUUCUACAGUUACACUCCACACAUGGCAUUUGUGUGAAGCACAGAGAUUCGAAACAAAAGAAGUCUUUGCCUUAAGAGUUUCUACUUUCUAUAUUCAACUACUGUUUUUGUUAUCAGAAGCAGAAUUAUCUGCAGGCAUUCAAAAAAAGAUAAGUGAAAGUCUGUUGUUUUCUAAUUUCAUGGCCUUUUGAUCAUUGCAGUGCAUGCAAAGUUGAUUUCUGCAUCAAUUUUCUUUGAACUCAAAAAAAAAAAAAAAAAAUCACACCGACUUUGUUAGUGUCUGCAAUGUAUUUUGCGUGUAUCAAAAUAGAAGCUCUGUCUUGGCUCUUCAAAGUUCUUAUGUAUUUCCUUGGUAUGUAGCUGUUCAUCCUCUUCUAUAUUCCAUUUGAGUAGAUAUUUGCUAGUUUGGAUGCAGUGACACUUACUUUCUAUUUCCAAAUUAAGUAAUUCUUUUAAACUUAGCUUGAGAGAUAUUUUUAUUUCCACCUUCUGCAGUAUUUUUUUGAUUGUGUUGCUAGUUAAUCUUUAUAACUUCUUUUGUCUUCCUGUUACUGCUUUUACUCAAGAAAAACCUGUUCUUCAACCUCAGUCAUCAGUGAAUGGCUGCUUAAUUUGCAACCUCUGUUGCUUCUGCUACUCUGGGAAAUUGGGCAGUGUAACACGGAACAGUUCAUGUUCGUUACUUUUUCUGUUUUGGCAAAAUCGUUGAAGAUUUCAGUAAUCAAAGCAAAAUCGUUGGAAAUUGGGCAGUGUCCCAAACUCCGAAUAUCAACAAUAUUCAAGGAAAAAUGGCAGACUUCCUGCAUUUAAAUUUUCAAAAGACGACUUUAGAAGGAAGAGCAGGACAAUUGUGGUUGAGAAUAAAAGACGUGAAGAGCAUUUUUUUUUUUUUGAAAGAUGGUAUUUUAUUGAUCCAGCCAUUCAACCUGCCACUUUAAGUCUUAAGUCCCUCAUAGACUAAAGACUCUUGAUGGCAUAAGAGUUGUCUUAGCUGGGAGAAGACUCUACGAUUGCAUCCUGAAGGAGCUGCCUACAAAAGGAUUGGCAGCACAACUACAUGAGCAAAAGAAACCUAAACAAAAAGUUAUCUAAGUUCCUAUGCACAUCAAUAAAAUUUCUAAAUGGCUCGUCAAAACAAAAAUAUUAAGCCAUACGCGUCCUUAAUUAUAAUCCUUGGUGAUUUUUGGGAAGAGCUUGGCUUGAAGGUUAUAGGAAUUUCGUUCGGUGAUGAACAGUUGCAAAAUUUUUCUAACCACGCAUCUUAAACAAGUUUGCACUCGAUUGAAAUGUCAAAAGGAAGUUCAACUCAACAUCUUAUCUGAACAUGAAGUUUGGGCUUUAUUCAAAGGUAAUGCUGGGCUAAAAGAUGUCACUUCCCCCUUCAAUGAUGUAGCUAGGGAGGUUGCCGGAGAAUGCAAAGGUUUGCCUCUUGCAAUUGUAACUUUGGGAAGAGCUUUGAAAGAUGAAACCCUGGACGGUGGAAAGUAGUGUAUCAGCGACUGAAAGACUCUAGACAUAUAGAGAAUCAAGAUGUUUACGGAGGUAUUUACAGCAGUCUUUAAAAUUAGUUAUUAUUGUUUAAAAAAGGACAAUAGCCGUUCAUGUUUAUUAUUGUAUUCACUUUUUUAGAAGAUCGUGAGAUUAGAAUCGAUGAAUUAACUAUAUACAGAAUUAGGCAAGGAAUGUUUGAUGGUGUUGAUUUAAUUUAAGAUGCAAGGAGGGCGAUGCGUGUAAUAAUAAAAAAUCUCCAAAAGUCAAGUUUGUUGUUGAAAACUAAUAAUGAAAGGCGUGUGAAAAUGCAUGCUGUGGUUCGUGAUUUUGUUUAUUGGAUGACGUCGAGAGGAAAAAACACAGUCAUGAUGAAAAGUGGGUUAAAACUAUGACCUACGAGUGAAAGUUUUCAAAUGUUACACAAAAUCUCAUUAAUGAAGAACAAAAUAAAUAUUUUUCUUGACAAAUUGAAGGUUUCAAAUCCCAUUAAUUAUAAAGUUUUCGAUUUUAUUAGAUUAUGAUUAUAAUUAUGAUAGCUGGAGUUUAGUAAGAGUACCAAAUAUGUUUUUUCAAAGAAUGAAAGCCCUCAAAGUUUUAGUUCUUAUAAGUGUGUUGGUGUCAUUGGAAGAAUCACAAUUCUUCACAAACUUUCGAACUCUAUACUGGGAAAAUUGUGAGCUGGAGAAUGCUUCAGCAUUGGGAAUUUGAAAGAACUUGAAUUUAUUAUUACUCCUUUUUCUGAUAUCAAGAAGCUACCUUAUGAAUUAUGGGAAUUGACUACUCUAAGAUUUCUGGUUAUAAGGAAUGAGUCUGAGAGUUUUGAUUUACCCCAAACUUGCAACCAACGUGAGUAGUAGAUCGGACUCUUAUAAUAUUGCUUUCAAGUAUUAUUUAUUAUUAAUCUUAUUUAUUUUUCUACUGUUAUACUCUAUGAAAAUCUUUGUAAAAGUAAUUGCAAUGUUUAAUAAAUUUAUAUUAUAAAUUAUUAUCAUUAAAGUAGAAUUUUUUAAAAGAAAUUAAUUAAAAAAAAGAAAAACUCUUAAUACAUUUACCUUUCAAUUAAAAUUUAAAUCAAAUAUAUAAAAAGUAUAUAAUAAUGUCGAUAGCCCAUGAUGGCCGAAGAGCUUCUAGAGGGAGCAUUAAUAGCACAUGAGAAGUGUGAGCCAUGUUGUCAAUUUGUCUUGUACAGAGAACCUUCUCUUUUUUUUUUUUUCUUUUUCUGUCUCAAACAUUGAAUGCAUUCAUACCUUUUAUUUUGCCCAUAUUAAAACCUGCCUUUUGUCACGAGUUCUUUCAGUAUUUAAGCAGCAAGCGCUGGGUCUAAUGGCCGCACAAACACUUCCAUCUUAUCUUUGCAAACAGGAGCUCGUGAUCAACAAUGGCAUGUGNGCGUGAUCAACAAUGGCAUGUGGGCACACUUCGAUUGCUGAUACUGCUGCUGUUGCUGCUGCUCGAUCAAAUGUUUCAUACGAGCGUACCUUGGUCAGCGUCGAGUAUGUACGUGUGAACAAUAUUGAUAAAGAGACUCCUGGUCACCUCUACGGAACUGUGAAGGUCAAGGGCUUUUGGGGUCUUCAUACGGUGUAUGAUCGGAGUUCAAGUGACUACGAGAGCAAAGGUCCUGGCGAAUUCGCCACAUUGACAGGCCAUACAAAAAGCUCUUGCUGAAAUUUAUUUUAAGAACAGACACCAUUUGAAAACAUCGAAACACCCUUCUAAUAUAUUUUUUAGAAAGAUAGUUUUUCUAGCAUCAGUGCUAGUGUGCCAUCCAUAAUCUCAAAUCUUUUGGUUUAAGACUAUUGUUGGCAUCAACCUAACCUGAGCUUCAAAAGACAGAGACUAUUCACACCUCAUUCUGCUGAAAAGACUUUGGUAGAAGUCUGUCCUAACCUGGCAGAAGCACCCUCCUAAUAUUAACAAGAUGCUCUAGUUUUACUUAUCUAAUCGUAUCAUCCGCAAAUUGUAAUCAUAUUGAAAAGAAAGAUAAAAAAAGAACACCCUUAUUUUAAGCCUCUCUUUAAAUUAAUUGGUUUGGUCGGUAACCCAUUAACCAAAAUUGAGACUUUAGCAAUUGUGAUACAAUCUUCAAUCCACCUCUUCCAUUUAUCUCCAUUAAGGUAUGCUUCAUUAAAAUAAUUCGAAAAAAGCUUGUUGAUCUCUUUUUUACUUUCAAUGUCUUUAAUGAUUAUAUCUUGAAAUCUUACGAAAAGACAUUUAAGAGCACAUACAUGAAGUCAAUUUUUCAUAAUUAGAAUUCAAUAUGGUAUUAAGUAUUAUUAACGGAUUCAGCUUUGUUCAAUUUAUUCAUAUUUUUAUUAUAUAAAUUAUAAUAUAAUACAAUAAUAUUGAUUAUUUAAUUUUUGACCCUAUAAAUGUUUAAUAAUAUACUAUGUGUAGCAUUUUAGUAUGAUAUAAUUUUUAUAUUAGAUUCUAAAAUAUGUGAAUAAAUAUAUAUUAAAAUUUUAUUCUAAAUUUCUAACGUUUAUUAUAAAAUUUCAUCAUUUUUUACACAUUUUUUUUACCAAUAACUGUGGAUAUUUUUAUAUUUGUCCAUAUAUGCAUCCAUUAUCCGUGAAUGGUUGGUUGUUAUGGGUGCUCUUAUCCUUUGGUCAUAUCCGGUAAGUAGCUAGAGAGAUACUUUUCUAUGAAAGUCAUUGAAUCGAGCAAGCAAGUAUGUGGGGAAUAAAUGGACCACAGGGGAAAAAUGAUUGCAAAAUGACAAAAAUACAAAGGACAGAAACAGAGGGAUCACAGGGAAAGAUGAUUGCAAAAUGACAAAAAUAAAAAGGACGGCAACAGAGGGAUCACAAGGAAAAAUGAUUGCAAAAUGACAAAAAUACAAAGGACAGCAACUGAGGCAUCACAUCAAUUAUUCAAUAAUUUCUAUAUUCAAAGUGUUUUUGCUACCUGAAGAAGAAUCAUCUGUUGUUUCUUAAUUCCCUCUGCUAGUGGGCUUCUGCUUAUUUCUACUUGCGUUUUCUUUUUACCAAAAUACAAGCUUAACCUUAUUGUAUUUAUUUGCUUUGGUCUGUAUUUCUACUUUUUAAAAUUUAAUUAAUGCAUAUAUGAAAUAAAAGGCUGCUCCUUAUUUCUUAUUUUUUUUCCCAAUAAGUUGACGAAAUAAAAUAAAUAAAUUAGAUUUGAGUCAACCCCAAAUUAAAUAAAAUAAAUAAUUUUCUUUUUAUCAAAUCGACUCUCCGAUUUAGAUUAUAACACAUUCAAACCCAAAUUAAUUUCAAUGACAUAGUGCUUACAUGCCUGGAUGAUAAUACUUCAUUUACGAGCUAAUGUCCUUCAACCAUUAAGUAUAAUUUUUUUAAGGAAAUUAAAUUAAAAAAAGUAAAACUCUAAAUAUAUUUACUUUUUAAUUAAAAUUUAAAUCAAAAUAUAUAAAAAUUAUAUAAUAAUGUUGAUAGCACCAUGAUGGCCAAAGAGCUCCUAGAGGGAGCGUUUAGCACAUGAGAAGUGUGAGCCAUGUUGCCAAGUUGUCUUGUACGGCUUGUACAGUGAACCGCCUCACCCACAAGAAAACGUCCUUCUUUUGAAUGCAUUCAUACCUUUUAUUUUGCCCAUAAUAAAACGUGCCUUUAGUCCCGAGUUCUUUCAGUAUUUAAGCAGCAAGCACUGGCUCUAAUGGCCACACAAACACUUUCAUCUUAUCUUUGCAAACAAGAACGAGUGAUCAACAAUGCCAGGUGGGCACGCUUCAGCUGCUUUCAAUGUAGAUGAAAAUGAUUACCAGAGAUUUAUCGAGGGCCUAAGAUCCAUACUUUCAUUCUCCAGAUCACACAGUAUCGGUGUGCUCAGGCCACAGACAGAGCCUGUAAGCUGGUUAGAUAUUCGCCUAACUUCUGGUGAUUCCACCAUCUUCUUGAGAAUCGAUCAGAGAGAUCUAUACGUGCGUGGCUAUUCGAGAGAUAACGGUGGAACAUUUUGGGAGUUUUCAGAUUCAUCUCUGAUUUCUGGAUCGAGACGUCUCGCUUAUAGCGGAAGCUAUGUAGAUGGUUACAACGUGGUUCGUGCUGCCGGCGGAGAUGUUACCCGUGGAACUCUUCAACUGGGUUAUCAAAAUUUGAGGAAUGCCAUUGCUAACCUAGCAAGAACAGAGGACCCGAACUCGACCCAAAACAAUGGACUGCAGAAUUGUGCUAGAGCACUGCUGAUUCUAACUCAAAUGAUUUCUGAAUCCACUAGGUUUCCAUUAAUCACCAACCAUAUUGUCACAAACUGGCACAAUUCUGCACCACUUACUAGACAACUCGUCCGCUUGCAACAGUCCUUUGGCACUUUUUCUAGUGCUGUCCAACGUGCUGACUUCCCCAACUGGACAGCUAAUACACCCUUGCCUAACAUCCCUGAACCUAACGAAGCCAACAUUUGGACCGUAGGUCAAGCCAUUGCCGCAGUUGGGAUUUUGAUAAAUGUCCCGCGCACAAGCAGCCGCAUGAAACGCCAAGCUGAUGUUGAUGUUGGCAAUGCUCGUAAUGCGGAUACUGCUGUUGUUGCUGCUGCUGAUACAAAUGUUUCAUACGUGCGUACCUUGGUGAGCAUUGAGUAUGUACGUGUGAACAAUAUUGAUAGUGAAGAUCCUGGUCAACUUUACGGAACAGUGAAGGUCAAGGACUUUUGGGGCGUUCAUCAGGUGUAUGAUCGGAGUUCAAGUGACUACGAGAGCAAAGGUCCUGGCGGAUUUGCCACAUUGACAGGCCCUUCAACUGGUAUUUCGGGCGAUGAUGUGUUCGGGAUCAGCGUCAAUUUGUGGGACCAUGACAGCUUGUCUCCUGACGACGAGAUUGCUGAAGGCGACAUCGUGUGGGAACCAAGAAAUGAGAAUCUAACUUUUGCCAAUUACGAUAAGCGUUUGGAGAAGGAUGUGGCUGGUAAAUAUGGCAAUGUUACGGUGGGUUACUCCGUAGUAAGACAAGCUCUCAAUGCCACUGUUAAGGUUUUGCUGAUCAACGGAGAUAAUGAAUCAUCGGCGGAGGUGUAUGGAACAAUCAAAGCUUCGCAAGUUAUAGGGGGAUCAUCAACAUCCUUCACAUUGUUUGAGAAAUCGUCCGGUGAAUACGUUCCAGUGAAACCCUAUCAAUCUAUUCCAUUAACUCGUUCUGUUGUGGUAGCACCAGUGAGUUCCGGGUUAACAAUCACGGCAGAUUUGUGGGAUUACGAUACACUGUCACAUGAUGACCAAAUUGCUAAAGGAAGUUUACACUUUGAUGCAUGGGUCGGAACCCAAGCUAGGAGCAUAUAUGGUCAAUAUGGUGAAGUGGAAGUGUACGUCACUUUUGAGUGAUCGAGGAAGCAACACUCCCUUUACCCAAUCUUGCCUACCGAUCGGUCAGUUGGGAUACAUAGUAAAUAAAUGGUGUGGGAAGAGGAGGAAUAUUGUUAUACCGUAAUAUAUAUAUAUAUAUUUUGAAUUGUUGGCAAGAGUUCUGUCUCUGUUAGUGGAUGGUAUCCGUUUUAUUUUGUUUGGAGAUUGGAUGUAAUGCAAAACCAAAUGGGACCAAACAAUAUGUUACUUUUUAAAUAAUAAUAAUAAUAAUGAUAACAAUAUGUCCCAAACUCCAAAUGCCAACCAUAUUUAAGACAAAAUUGCAGACUUCCUAGUUUUAGUUUUUGAAAAGAAGACUAUACAAGGAAAAAGCACAACAAUUGUAGUUUAAAAUAAAAUGACGUGAAGAGCAUCAUUAUAAUCUUGAUGAUGUUCGGGAAGAACUUGGCUUGAAGGCUAUAGGAAUUCCAUUCAGUGAAGAUCACAAUAGUUGCAAAAUUCCAUUCCAUCUCAUGUAAUCGGUGUUUCUCCUACUAUUUCCGGUUUUUCUUCUAUUCUUGCUCACAUCUCUAAAAUUUUAUCUUCUACCUAAGAUCCUAUCUAAGAUCGUAUAGAGAUGCAAUCCCUAUCUUAAUCUAAAAGAUUAAGACUCACUCCAUAUUUAUAGAGCCAUGUUUCUUUGUCACCAUGAAUUUCUACUCAUUAAAAACUCUCUAUCAUUAAGUAUAUUUACCCUUUAAAUAAACUUAAUCAUCAAAUAAUUUUCAACGAAUGAAAUUUUAUUGAUUCCCCAUUAAUAUUUGAAUAAAACAUUUGGG